AUCCAUUCCAUUCCAUUCCAAUCCUAUCUGACCUGACCUGACCUGACCUGACCUGGCCUGGCCUGGCCUGUUCAAACCUGACCUGUUUCUGCCUCACGACCACCCGUUCAGCCUGCUCCCCUUUUGCCUUUUGUGAGUACCUUCUCUACAUUUCUCCUGGAUUGAUUCCCGUGUACCAGACCUUCCUUCAGCCUUGGACCUCCCUUCUGGACCACGGACAUUUCACCCCCUCCUCCUCCUCCCUUUGCUGCUGUGUUUCCUGUUGCCUCAUCCUGAGCAGAGAUCACACUCCAAUCCUCCCAGCCACUACUCCACCUUAAAGACAAGUUCUGCACUUCCUGGUGGCUGGAGGAGAUCCCUACACUGACUCACCUGUUCCUGCUUAUCCUCCUGCAGCCUUCAAUAAAUAUUUAUAAUCUG